rnacentral:rRNA from 1 species
UACGUAGGGGGCUAGCGUUGUCCGGAUUUAUUGGGCGUAAAGAGCGUGUAGGCGGCCAGGUAGGUCUGCUGUGAAAACUCGAGGCUCAACCUCGAGACGUCGGCGGAAACCAUCUGGCUAGAGUCCGGAAGAGGAGAGUGGAAUUCCUGGUGUAGCGGUGAAAUGCGUAGAGAUCCGGAGGAACACCGACGGCGCAGGCAGCGUCCUGGCCGCUUGCUGACACUGAGGCACGAAAGCUGGGGGAGCAAACAGG